rnacentral:rRNA from 1 species
AGUGAACGCUGGCGGCAGGCCUAACACAUGCAAGUCGAGCGGAUGAAGGGAGCUUGCUCCUGGAUUCAGCGGCGGACGGGUGAGUAAUGCCUAGGAAUCUGCCUGGUAGUGGGGGAUAACGUCCGGAAACGGGCGCUAAUACCGCAUACGUCCUGAGGGAGAAAGUGGGGGAUCUUCGGACCUCACGCUAUCAGAUGAGCCUAGGUCGGAUUAGCUAGUUGGUGGGGUAAAGGCCUACCAAGGCGACGAUCCGUAACUGGUCUGAGAGGAUGAUCAGUCACACUGGAACUGAGACACGGUCCAGACUCCUACGGGAGGCAGCAGUGGGGAAUAUUGGACAAUGGGCGAAAGCCUGAUCCAGCCAUGCCGCGUGUGUGAAGAAGGUCUUCGGAUUGUAAAGCACUUUAAGUUGGGAGGAAGGGCAGUAAGUUAAUACCUUGCUGUUUUGACGGUACCAACAGAAUAAGCACCGGCUAACUUCGUG